rnacentral:rRNA from 1 species
GACGAACGCUGGCGGCGUGCUUAAUACAUGCAAGUAGAACGGUAAGGCGCUGCUCUUGCUGUGCGUUCGAGUGGCGCAAGGGUGAGUAUAACGCGUGUAACCUGUCCCUGAUAUUGGGGUAUCUUUAGGAAAAUGGGUAUCAUAUCGGACAGGAGCUUCUGCUGCACGGUGGGGGUUGGUAAGAUUCGGCGGUUGGGGAUGGACGCGCGGCUUUUCAGCUUGUUGGUGGGGUGGUGGCGUACCAAGGCUUCGACGAGUAGCCGGCCUGCGAGGGUGACAGGCCACAUUGGGACUGAGGUACGACCAGGAGUCCUACGGGAGGCAGCAGUGGAGAAUAGUGCGCAAUAGGCGGAAGCCGGAUGCAGCAACGCCGCGUGCGGGAUGACGGCCUUCGGGUUGUAAACCGCUUGCGCCUGUGACGAAGCGUGAGUGACGGUAAUGUGUAAGAAAGCACCGGCUAACUACGUG